rnacentral:rRNA from 1 species
UACGUAGGGGGCAAGCGUUGUCCGGAAUCAUUGGGCGUAAAGAGCGCGUAGGCGGCCCAGUAAGUCCGCUCUGAAAGUCAGAGGCUCAACCUCUGAAUGCGGGUGGAUACUGCUGGGCUAGAGUCCGGAAGAGGCGAGUGGAAUUCCUGGUGUAGCGGUGAAAUGCGCAGAUAUCAGGAGGAACACCGGUGGCGAAGGCGGUGCUCUGGGCCAGUACUGACGCUGAGGAGCGAAAGCGUGGGGAGCAAACAGG